UAACUUUUAACAACGGAUCUCUUGGCUCUCGCAUCGAUGAAGAACGCAGCGAAAUGCGAUAUGUAAUGUGAAUUGCAGAAUAGUGAAUCAUCGAAUCUUUGAACGCACCUUGCCCCUUUCGAGGCAUGCUGGUUUGAGCGCCUUAUAACCUUGGA
rnacentral:rRNA from 1 species